UUUCACUUUCAUCUGUCUUCCUAAAGAAGGGUGUCGGCAAAUCUAGGCAUACCCAGUUGAGCACGAUACAUGCACUAUAAAUUUCAAAUUUUUUUGUAGUUCAUAUAGUCUGUAAAAGUUAUUGUUCUUAAUUAGUAUUUGAUAUCUUUCACUUUCUGUCUCUUUCAAAAGUGGUGGCCUUGGUAUUCCACUUGUUUUCACCAUUCUAGUCAAAUUCCCUAUAAUUUCCUCAACAUGUGUAACCUGUACUCGUCAGGUCACAGCUAAUUCAUCUUCACUCUCAAGUGCCUUUAUCAUUCUUCCAGAGCCAACUGACAGAGGAGAAUAGAAAAUUAUUCACAACUUACAUAUCUGGCAUUGUACAUAAAAUAUCGCUAAUCACACAACCCUAUUUUACAGAUGAGGAAGUAUAUAUUUCCCAAGAUCAUACAAAAAACUAUCUGCAAAUCAUCUUUGUAAAGCAUUCCUUUUUUUUUUAUCUCAGCACCUGGCCUAUGCCACUGUGGUUUAGCACAUUAUUGUGUGCCAUUUUGUUUCCUAAUUGUACCCUUGCUUUCCUCAUCUCAAUAGUAAGCACAGAAGGACCCUAUAGUAUCUUUACAAUGCAAAGCAUAUACUGAGUGCAAAAUGAAUACUUGACUGAUUUUAUAUGUUUACAUGUAUUGAUGCCCAGUACUGUUAGGCUAUUUUAGAAGGCUUGGGGCAGAUUGUGUUACAGCCAGAAAAAUAUGUUUGAGUAAUGGAAAGAGACCUGUGUCUGGCUGUGUUGUGCUUUGCUAUUACUCCUAUCUCUUAAUUCAUCAUCUAGAAAAUGGGUGUAGGUAGGGAAUUGGUAACAUUGCAUGAGUCCUCAGGCUCUAUUGAGCAUCGAUAAUUCACCUGGUACCCUAGAAGUAUGGCAGAUAUUGUUCUAAGGGCAGGUCCACAAUUCUUUAUCUGAAAGUCUUGAGGAUUUUGCAAGUCACACUGGUCUCACCUACUGGUUUUGUGACCUUGAGCAACUGCCUUAGCACAUUGGACCCUAGAAGCUGAUACUCUCAUCGUUACAGUCAGCUUCUGCUUCUGCUAAGUUCACAUUAUAAAUCGUCUCAUCUUGUUUUUGUAAAGCAUGAUAUAGACUCAUGUGAAACGAGACUUCCUAUCAGGAAGACACAUCUUUAGAUAUGUCAGUAUCCCUCCUUACUAGUAAAAGUCCUUUAGUCAUCUCCCCACAAUUCCAUGUCACCCUAGUAUCUUCAUGUGUUCUCUUAUUUCCUUCCUUUCUCAUUUCUUCCUUUCUCCUCCCUCUUUCCCCUUUUUUUUU